GGAACAAUGGACAGGAGAGGAUUGCUGGUGUUGCCUUACGGAUUUCAUUCUGGGAAAGAAGUAAUAUUUGAAGCAGUGAAGGGAGGAGUGCUAUGAGGAGCUGGAGCCAGACGUACCACGCCAGGAGCUGCAAGGUCUCUGCUUUACUACCACGGCCCUCCUGCUUUGCCCAUCCUCUCUGUCCCUAGGAGGUCACCAUCACCUCCAGUGAGCUUUGCUCUGCUCUCUGGCUGCUGUGUCUUCUGUAGAUCCUGUGCCCCAAUGACAUUUGUGACCUGCCAGAAAAAUAUAUCUCUUUCCCCGAGUGUUGUGGAAGUGUUUACAUGAUAAACUGUCGGUCUGUGUGGAGCUGAAGGGAAAAGGCCAGAGUGCCCUUCCUACUGUUGGCAGGAGGAUGACCAGCAGCAAGUGCCUGGCAGUCACUAAUUGACUCAUUAGAGGUCUCUGUGGGUGUGCUCACAGGAGAGUAGGCACGUCUGUACCGCCUCCUCUGAUGAGAAGCAUGGAUGUCAGGAUGGCAGUAUGGACAGGACUGCGGUCCCAGUUGGUGUGGGACAGCCCAGGCAUCACUGGCUGUGGGGUGCUUCAACAGCUCAGACAGGCUUUGAGUCGAUGAGAGCUGGGGGAAACAUGCCAGGUCAGGACAUUCCUGCAGUGAUCCUGCAGGAACCACAGUGCUUCAUCUGCCAGCAGGACAAGGUGAUGCUGAGCUGUGCUGAGCUGCCCUAGGCCAGCCCAUUCCAGUGCAGCAGGUUGCCACGUUCCCUGUGCCUUGCUUACAGAAAUCUUAAUUUAUGCUAUUAGAAAUAGUAAGAACAAAGAGUUUGAGCACAGUUUACAUUUUGCUUGAGCACUGCAGUGGGUCUCAGCUAAUUCAUCAGCAGUGGUUCGUUCUGCUCGAAAUCCUAGGGAAUGGCUCCUCUCCCGGGGCAUUUCUUCC
rnacentral:lncRNA from 1 species